AUUGAACGCUGGCGGCAUGCUUUACACAUGCAAGUCGAACGGUAACAGGUUAAGCUGACGAGUGGCGAACGGGUGAGUAAUGCAUCAGAACGUGCCCGAUCGUGGGGGAUAACGCAGCGAAAGCUGCGCUAAUACCGCAUACGAUCUGAGGAUGAAAGCGGGGGACCGUAAGGCCUCGCGCGAUCGGAGCGGCCGAUGUCAGAUUAGGUAGUUGGUGGGGUAAAGGCCCACCAAGCCGACGAUCUGUAGCUGGUCUGAGAGGACGACCAGCCACACUGGGCCUGAGACACGGCCCAGACUCCUACGGGAGGCAGCAGUGGGGAAUUUUGGACAAUGGGCGAAAGCCUGAUCCAGCAAUGCCGCGUGCAGGAAGAAGGCCUUCGGGUUGUAAACUGCUUUUGUACGGAGCGAAAAGGCCCUUUCUAAUACAAGGGGCUCAUGACGGUACCGUAAGAAUAAGCACCGGCUAACUACGUGCCAGCAGCCGCCGUAAUAC
rnacentral:rRNA from 1 species